GGGUUAGACGAUUGUGUAAGGGACAAACCUGUUGAGAUAAAGUCCCAAAAAGGGGUGUUUUAUUGGCAAUGACUUUACAAUUGGAACUUAAACAGAAAUGCCUCCAAGGGGCGCAAGCACAGGAGUACUGAAAAGAAAUGUUUUAGUCUAAACUAAGAAAUUGAAAUUACAUAUUUUUUGUUUGAGAGUGUUUGAUUCGGGGUCUUGUGCUCUAUGUCUUUUCUUCCUUUUAUAUUCCUUUGAUGCUAUCUUUGUGAUCAACCGCUUAGAAAUCGCUUAAUUGCUUUAUAACUGCCCACUUUCUUGAUGGUGGCCAACUUAUCGUGGAACUGCCGUCUCUAACUGCUGCCAUGACUCUUUGUCGUUCAACCGUCCUCAACUGAACAUCCUUGAAUCGUGGAACGUGAUAAAAUUACCCAAUAACUACUUCGAUAAUUGCACUUUUGGAUAACCAUAACAUCUCAUGUUUGCUAAGAUCCUGGGCGAUUCGAAAGUUUGUGCGAGAAUAGGGUCAUAACUCUGGGUGACUGUAAGGCACUUCAUUCGCUCACAUCCUGGGCGUCUUGUAAGUUUGGGCGAUGGUGUUACUGCGUUCGUGGACUUCCACUGCAUUCAUUAAUAACCCUAUUUGGACCUUUAUCCUGAAUUGUCCAGUUGAGCUUCAUUCUUUGGGUUAUUUGAAUUGGGCUGCACUUUUAGCAUGUCAACACUUACAUUUACAAGCUAGAACUACUAAGAUCAGAUUAUGGGUUUCUGCAGCAGAGACAACUUCUUGAUGGCUGGAUAGUAAAGUAAGAGAAGAAGGAUGAUUAUCUUUCACAGAAAAAUGGUGAUAUGUUUUGCCAAAAAUCACGCUUUUUUGAAUUCUGCAAUG
rnacentral:lncRNA from 1 species